UUUUAAGAAUAAGUAUGUCCCGUGCAAUAUUGGGGACAUACUUAUGCUGACA
rnacentral:pre_miRNA from 1 species